rnacentral:rRNA from 1 species
CCUACGGGAGGCAGCAGUGGGGAAUCUUGCGCAAUGGGCGGAAGCCUGACGCAGCGACGCCGCGUGCGGGACGAAGGCCUUCGGGUCGUAAACCGCUUUCAGCAGGGACGAGGCCCUCACGGUGACUGUACCUGCAGAAGAAGCCCCGGCUAACUACGUGCCAGCAGCCACGGUAAUACGUAGGGGGCGAGCGUUGUCCGGAUCCAUUGGGCGUAAAGCGCGCGUAGGCGGGCUGUUAGGUCGGUGGUAAAAUACCGGGGCUCAACCCCGGCCCGCCCCCGAUACCGGCAGGCUUGAGUCUGGUAGAGGAAGGCGGAAUUCGCGGUGUAGCGGUGGAAUGCGCAGAUAUUGGGAAGAACACCGGGGGCGAAGGCAGCCUUCUGGGCCACGACUGACGCUGAGGCGCGAAAGCUAGGGGAGCGAACAGGAUUAGAUACCCGUGUAGUC